AUGUUGAAAAAAACAACUAUAUUAAAAUUGGAAUGAUACAGUGAAGAUUGGCAAGGAUAACAUGCAAAUUUGUGAGGUAUUCCAUAUUUUA
rnacentral:snRNA from 1 species